GCCUCUCCAGUCUCCCCCAUCUAGGGUUCCUUCCAUUCCCUUCUUGGUUCGCCCCAGGUUCCUUCAAAUCGACUGAAGUGUCGGCAUUAGGAGCAGCAGCUCAUCUUCUCCGCCCGUCAUUCAGCCAAGCUUGCAGAAUAUUUGGAAAGAGACGGUUUCAGAUCUGUCCAGGUCUCCAGGAAGCACUGCAGGCCCUUGAAGUCCUGAAUACCCACGGAGAUCAUCUGAUCUCCUUGCGACGCUAGCAGAUUUUCCCAUGCAAUGAUAAUGCUUUGCCUUACUAGGAUGCAAGUCGAAACUAUUUCGAAGGCAAGGCUACCCUGUGAAACAAGGUGGAGAACGUAGGAUGUACUAUCUGAAGCUGCAUUCUGCCUCUUCUUUCUGUCUGUCUCCCUAACAGUAUGCAGAAACCACGGGCUUGGAUAUUAAGUUGAAGAAUGAAUCAUUGGUCGAAAUUUAAUUAGUACAAUCCAUUGCACUUAAAACCCUGGUGUUCUUUAUGUAAGAUGUAGCUUUGUUUGGUAAACUUCUGAAUUCCUGAAAGAGCAGAUUGUGUUCUAACUACAUGUUCCCACGUUUAUCUGAUGAGACGCCUAAGAAUCAUAAUCAUGCAUCCGUGCAAGUACAAUGCGCUUCCCAAUUAAGUUCACUUAUCUGAGAUGUCUGUAUCCAUGCCACAUCCAAAGCAUGAAGAUCUCAACUUUUUUUCUUUUUGCAGUUUCCAGUGGGCUUUGAGCUGACCAUCCUCGCUAUGUGCAUGAACUGAAUGACCAUGCUACCAAACAAGCAGAGACCUGGGUGAGGCGUCGUCAUGUUGGCUUACGGAUACUAAUCCCAUGAAUGAUCAAUUAAGAAAAUGUGCAUCUUAGCUACUUCCAAAAUAUGUGCCCCUCGAGCUAUUGCCCUGUUUCCAUUGAGUAUGGAUGGAUAAUCAUCAGCCAUGCAAGCAAGUACAUGAACUUCCCCAGUUAACACUCGUCAUCUCUCCAAAAACACA